AGCGAACGCUGGCGGCGGGCUUAACACAUGCAAGUCGAGCGGGCAUCCUUGUGGUGUCAGCGGCAGACGGGUGAGUAACGCGUGGGAACGUACCCUUUGGUUCGGAAUAACUCAGGGAAACUUGAGCUAAUACCGGAUACGCCCUUUUGGGGAAAGGCUUGCUGCCGAAGGAUCGGCCCGCGUCUGAUUAGCUAGUUGGUGAGGUUAUGGCUCACCAAGGCGACGAUCAGUAGCUGGUCUGAGAGGAUGAUCAGCCACACUGGGACUUGAGACACGGCCCAGACUCCUACGGGAGGCAGCAGUGGGGAAUAUUGGACAAUGGGGGCAACCCUGAUCCAGCCAUGCCGCGUGAGUGAUGACGGCCUUAGGGUUGUAAAGCUCUUUUCUCCGGGACGAUAAUGACGGUACCGGAGGAAUAAGCCCCGGCUAACUUCGUGCCAGCAGCCGCAGUAAGAC
rnacentral:rRNA from 1 species